rnacentral:rRNA from 1 species
AUAAGAUAUCAAGGGCAACAGGUGAAUGCCUUGGCGCUGAGAGGCGAUGAAAGACGCGGUAAGCUGCGAUAAGCAUCGGGGAGGAGCUAAACAUCCUACGAUCCGAUGAUUUCUGAAUGGGGAAACCCGAUGGGAGUCAUGUCCCAUCAUCCUGAGCUGAAUAUAUAGGCCCAGAGAAGCCAACCCGGGGAAGUGAAACAUCUCAGUACCCGGAGGAAGAGAAAUCAAACGAGACUCCCAAAGUAGCGGCGAGCGAAAUGGGAAGAGCCCAAACCGGGUGGUUUCGACCAUUCGGGGUUGUAGGGCCGGCAUACGCGAUUCUGGAGUAGGCAGAGGAAGUGAGCUGGAAAGCUCCGCCACAGCGGGUGAUAGCCCCGUACUCGAAACCGAAAAGGACGCAGCCGGUACCUGAGUACUGCGAGGCACGUGGAACCUCGUGGGAAUCUAGGGGGACCAUCCUCUAAGGCUAAGUACUCCUCAGCGACCGAUAGUGAACUAGUACCGUGAGGGAAAGGUGAAAAGAACCCCUGUUAGGGGAGUGAAAUAGAAUCUGAAACCUGUUGCCUACAAGCUGCGAGAGCUGCUUUUUGCAGUGAUCGCGUGCCUUUUGUAUAAUGAGUCAGCGAGUUACUCUACCGUGCGAGGUUAAGCGAAAGCGUAGCCGUAGUGAAAGCGAGGCUUAAUAGGCCGACUAGUACGUUGGAGUAGACCCGAAACCGGGUGAUCUAUCCAUGAGCAGGUUGAAGCAAGGGUAAAGCCUUGUGGAGGACCGAACCGUCAACGGCUGAAAACGUUCCGGAUGACUUGUGGAUAGGGGUGAAAGGUCAAUCAAACCCGGUGAUAGCUGGUUCUCCCCGAAAUAUAUUGAGGUAUAGCCUCGGGAAUUGAUUAGCGGAGGUAAAGCACUGACAGAGCUAGGGGUCCUACCAGAUUACCAAACUCUAUCAAACUCAGAAUGCCGCUUAAUUGUAUCCCGGGAGUCAGACGGCGGGUGCGAAGGUUCGUCGUCAAAAGGGAAACAGCCCAGACCAACAGCUAAGGUCUCCAAAUCCAUGCUCAGUGGUGAAGGUAGUGGAACCGUUUAGACAGCCAGGACGUUGGCUUAGAAGCAGCCAUCGUUUAAAGAAAGCGUAAUAGCUCACUGGUCUAAUGGCUCUGCGCCGAAAAUGUAACGGGGCUAAGCAUGGUACCGAAGCUUUGGCAAUCCCCUUUGGGGAUUGGGUAGGGGAGCGUUCGCUGCGGGCUGAAGGUGUGCCGGAAGGCAUGCUGGACUGCAGUGAAGUGAUUAUGCUGACAUGAGUAACGAUAAAAUAUGUGAAAAACAUAUUCGCCGAAAACCCGAGGUUUCCUGGGUAAAGGUAAUCUUCCCAGGGUUAGUCGGAUCCUAAGGUGAGGGUGAAAGCCGUAACCGAUGGAAAACAGGUUAAUAUUCCUGUACUUGUUGUGUAGCGCGAUGGAGGGACGCAGGAAGAUAGGCGGGCCGGGUGUUGGAUAUCCCGGUGCAAGCGUGUAGGAAUAUCCGGUAGGCAAAUCCGCCGGACGAAUCUGAGACGCGAGUCCGUGGGCGCAAGCCCUGAAGCCGUUGAGUCUAUGCUGCCUAGAAAAGCUCCUAAGUUUAUCCACAGCAAUCCGUACCGCAAACCAACUCAGGUGGGUGGGAUGAACAAUCCAAGGCGCUCGAGAGAACUCUGGCCAAGGAACUCGGCAAAAUAACCCCGUAACUUCGGAAGAAGGGGUGCUCUCUAGGGUGACAUGUUUAACAUAUGAAGCCCCGGGGAGCCGCAGUGAAUUGGUGGUGGCGACUGUUUACUAAAAACAUAGGUCUGUGCGAAGUCCUAAAGACGACGUAUACGGACUGACGCCUGCCCGGUGCUGGAAGGUUAAAAGGAGGGGUCAGCGCAAGCAAAGCUCCGAAUUGAAGCCCCAGUAAACGGCGGCCGUAACUAUAACGGUCCUAAGGUAGCGAAAUUCCUUGUCGGGUAAGUUCCGACCUGCACGAAUGGCGUAA